rnacentral:rRNA from 1 species
ACGGAGGCAGCAGUGAGGAAUAUUGGACAAUGGAGGCAACUCUGAUCCAGCCAUGCCGCGUGAAGGAAGAAGGACCUAUGGUUUGUAAACUUCUUUUGUAGCAGAGAAAACCCUUGUUUGCGAACGAGGUUGAUAGUAUGCUAAGAAUAAGCAUCGGCUAACUUCGUGCCAGCAGCCGCGGUAAUACGAAGGAUGCGAGCGUUAUCCGGAUUUAUUGGGUUUAAAGGGUGCGUAGGCGGCCUUAUAAGUCAGUGGUGAAAUCCUAUCGCUUAACGAUAGACGUGCCAUUGAUACUGUAGGGCUUGAGUACAGAUGCCGUUGGCGGAAUGUGUCAUGUAGCGGUGAAAUGCAUAGAUAUGACACAGAACACCGAUUGCGAAGGCAGCUGACGAAACUGUAACUGACGCUGAUGCACGAAAGCGUGGGGAUCAAACAGGAUUAGAUACCCUAGUAGUCCG